UUUAUCUAUACAUAUAACAUACGAUCCUAAGAAACAUAUUUAACAUUUUUACAUUUAAUUAUAUUUUCUGGAAAAUAGAAUAGGUGUAAUUUAUUAAGAUAAAAAUUUAAAAAUUUUUUGCAAUGCGCUUGUAUUUUGAUGUUGAAAGCUAUGAGAUGAAAUGGUGUAUUAUUAGGUGACAUAUGGUUUUAAAACAAGGAAAUGCAGCCUAACCUGAAAUGUAAUCAAAUAAGUGUAAAGCAAAAAAGUUGAUAUAUAUAUUUUGACAUAUGUAUAUAAUUAACAGAAAAGUAAUGUGAAAAGAGAUAAAAUGUACUGCCUCGAAUUUAAAGUUAAAUGUUUUAAAUAAUUAUCUCGAUAUACAAGAUGCAAAUAAUGCAGUUAAAAUAAAUAACAAAAUGGAGCAAAGUAUGAUGAUAAUAAAUAACCAUAGUCAGGAUGAUCAGAUGAUAAGAAAAGAAACAGAACCUUGGUUCAACGAACAAAAUUUAAACAUAAAUCAAGAACAGCCAUUAUCAUCUGAGACACCUUAUUAUAAAUAUCAGAAUAAUAUAGUAGGUGUUCCAGUUGGUAUAUCGACAAAUAUUCAAUGGUGGAGAGAUUCAUCGAUCACAAAUAUAGUAAUGCAAUCCGAAUAUCAACCGGAAAUAGCUCGUUCAUCAAAUUGCUCAUUAAUGAAUCACUGCAUAAGUGCUCAGUUAUCAGAUCAAUUAGAAGAGGUAGAGUUAAACUCAACAAAAGCUAUGAAAUCUAAACAAUUAAAAAAAUCAAAAACAAUGAAGGUAUGUAGAGAACCUUUAAAACGUACAAAAAAUCCAGAAAUGUGGAAAGUAAAUGUGAAAAAGAAUGCUAGACUAAGAGGUGAAGAAUACAUUGGAGUUGGAGGAAAAAUAGUACCAGCAAAAACCAUGGGGCCACCUUGUAAAUGUCGCAUACGUUGUACCGAAAAAAUUGAUGAAGUAUCUCGAGAAGAGUUGCAUAAUGUUUUUUGGAAAACAUGCAGCUGGGAACAACGAAAACAAUAUGUUGCAUUAUUAGUCAAGGAAUCUCCAAAGCAACGAACUCGGUGUCGCGGAAAUGUUAAAUCGGAACAUCGUAGACAAGUUACUUUCACUUACUCUCUUUUAUUAAAAGGAGAGUUUAUCACAGUGUGUAAGUGCAUGUUCCUGAGUACUUUUUCAGUGUCUGAGAAAUUUGUGCGACACGUAAUGGAGAAAAAAAGGAUAUCUCCUGGAGGAAUUAUAGGGCCAGACCAAAGAGGAAAGCAUAUACCAAAAACAAAAAAGAGCGAAAGUGUUAAGGAUAGAGUGCGCGAACAUAUUAGAUCAUUUCCAACGGAAAAAUUGAUAAAUCCAAAAAAUCGUAUAGAAAAAGGAUAUCUAGACUCUAGAUUAAGUAUAGCCGCUAUGCAUAAACUUUAUGUGUUAAAGUGUAAAGAAGAAGGCGUUUUCGAAAGUGACAUAGUUAAGGAAAGUUAUUACAGGGAAAUGUUUAAGACGGAAUUUAAUCUUGGUUUUGAACGAGAAGAAUCUAAAGAUGGCAAACAGUUACCAGGUAUUAUUUAAAACCAGACGAUUAUAACCAGUAAAUAAUUCCAUUAUUUUUUUUUUUUUUUUGUAUAAUGAAAAAUUCUUCAUUUUCAAUGUUGCCAUACAUUUCAUAUAGAAAUGUUUACAAGUAUUUACGUUUAACAUUACCAAUUUUAAUAUUAAGUUCGACAUUUUAAAUUUGAUAUAAAACAGUAUUCAGUGAAUAGUAUCAAAUAACGUUAUUACAUAACAAUAUAUUUGACACAAUGUGUGCUAAUUAAAAUCUAUUCAAAAUAGGAGUACAAAAUGACACAUAGUUUUUUGUCGAUUACAAUAUGCUAGUGUAUAUAUUAUAUUUUUUAGUCUAUAUGUUGUAUUAUAUUUUCUGUAGUCUUUUUAAAGUUUAUAAUUAUGAAAUGUUCUUUGAACGAAUUUCCAAAUAUAAUUACACGUUUUAUGCUAAAGCAUAAAUAUACAAAUGUUAAAUACAAAACAUAUUUACAUAUAUUUUUAUAUACUGUAACAUUCAUUAUAAAAUAUGCUAUUGUCAAAAAAAUAACAGAUCUAUAUUUUUAAUUGCUACGCAUUGAAUGUACAGUAAAUCAUAGUUUUUUAGUGUUUAGUAAUUUAAAAGAAUUAUGUACAAAAUAUACAAAAUAUUAAAAAAAAAAAAUUAUAGACUAUGCAUAAUAGAAACUUGCAGAAUUAAACGUGGACGUGUUAUGUUAAAGCGUAUUAUCUUCACGGUUCAAUUUCCUUUUGAUAACUUUAACUGACUACAGUACAGCUUUUUUACCUGUUAUUGAAUUUCAGUUCCAUUAUCAUUAAUCCUGUCUUUCUUCUGAAGAUGAACUAACUUCUUUACAUCGUUUCGUUGCCGCUUCAACUGCUCCGAUUACUGCUGAUCUCAAACCAUGCUGUUCUAAGUAAUGAAUUCCCGUUAUGGUAGACCCUGAAAGAGGUAGAAAGGAAUAAUUGAUAAGUAAAAAGAUGUUAAGAGAGUGAGAAAUAUUUCGGAUAAUAUAAAAUUCAUUCUCCUCAAACCUGCUGGUGAAGCUACAUCAUCUUUCAAUUGUCCUGGAUGGGUAUUCGUGUCUCGCACCAUGGUAGCAGCUCCAAGCACAGUCUGGGCGGCUAAUUUAUACGCUGUAUGCCUCAUCAAGCCCAUUUUUACACCUCCAUCGGCUAAAGCUUCUAUCAUCAUGUAUACCUGAAUAAGAGAAUAAUUUUUAUAUUUAUCUUUCAAUUUAAAUAUGUCAAUGAUUUAUAAAUAUACAUUAACAAAUUGUGUACAAAUUUACAUAUGCAGGUCCAGAGCCAGCUAAAGCAGUGACAGGAUCAAUUACAUUUUCAGGAACUUCUUCGCAGAAACCAACAGCAGAAAACAGCUUUUCUGCUAUUUCAGCCUCUUUAUCGCCAGCAGAUUUUCCACGUGCAUAUACAGUUGCACCACAGCCCACAAGGGCUGGGGUGUUGGGCAUCACCCUUAUCACUGGCGUUCCUUGCGGAAGAGCCUAAGUUAAAAUUAAACGUUUCAGUAAUAAAACGACGCCUGACGAUAAAUCUUGUACACAACGUAAGCCAUCCUAAUCUCAUAAUUACUGCAAUUUACUUGUUCAAAUUUUACAAUCUCACCUUCUCCAGUGUUGACAGCGGAAUACCCAUAGCAAUAGACAGUAAAAGUUUCCUAUAAUUUUUUAAAUCUGGAAGAACUUUCGGAACCACUUGUGGUUUUACCGAUAAAAUUAGAACAUCACCGUGAUCAACGACGGGUCCAUUCGAAUGUACAGUGUUUGAUCCUAUUUCCUGGAAUUACAAUGAAGGACAAUAAUAAGAAAAAUAAUAAGAUCUAUGAUAAUUACUGUCAAGAUAUCCAAUAAAAACGCAUUGGUAAAUGUAAAAAUUUGAGGUAAACUAAACUCCAGAGUUGCAAUGUUUUCCAUAGAGUUAUCGUGAAACAAAGAUAAGGCACACGAUAUUGGAAAUUUUCCUAGACCCGAUAAUGACCGAGAAAUAACAAUUGAUGCGAAGUUUAUAAGCAAUUAAUAUUACGAUUCAAGUUGUACAUACGAUCUCAAAAGCAAGAACGUUAUCGAGCAAUCAGUUUAGAUUAAGUAAUAAAGGAUUUAAAGAUCGAUCGAAUAUCGAGGAUGCAAGAGUGAAAAGUUGUGCCGACAUAACAAGAAGAAUUAUUGACACGUUGGUAAAAGGAGAAAUUCGACUCACCUUAAACGCUUCUAUGCUACCCAUGUCGUUUGGAAGACAGCUGGCCAGCAUCAUAUCACCUUUACUUAAUCCUGCAAAUUAUAAGUAAUAAUUUCUUUUAUUAAUUAAGCACGUGGAACGCCCUGGUACAGCAUAGUUCUCUUGAAACUUAAAAUGAUAGUAUCAAUGGCAUCGAGGAUACGUGUUUGUUUUGUACCUGCUCGAAUGAAACCUUUGGCCAAAGCUUGGGCCAUUUUUCCACCACCCAAAAAUCCAAUUUUCAACAUCUUCGUGUCAAUGUUCAAGGAGAUCCUUUUUCUUUUCUCUUCGCCGUCAGCGAGAAGUUGAUCGCUCACUAUAAAAAAAUAGAUUAUUAUUGAUACUUGCAAAAAGAUGUAUGUAGGUAUAAUAUUACAAUAUGGUUCGAAAACAAUUUUAAUCUUACACAGUUCUUACCGUAUUUUUCUUUUUUCUCUAAUGUUUUAGCAACUAUGAAACUCGAAGAACUGUCGAGUACGUAACAAGUAUAGGAGUAACGAUAUUGAGAGAGAAAAGUUUCGAAAAGUUUCGAAUUUGCGCUGCACAAAGACAGUCGGAUACCGUUCGUUCGCGAUAUUUACAAGUAAAUCGGUACUAUAAUUCUCGUUCAUCUCUCUCGACGAAGAAACGAUUUCAAUAGUUUUUUCUUUUUAUGUAAUCGUACUCGAGAUAAGGUCCUCGCCUAUAUGUAUGUACGUUCAUAACGCACUUACCACAAAGAACGCGCGUACUAAACCGUCUCUACAAUUUCGCGGUUUCGCCUGUGAAUUAUUAAACGUUUCUAUCGUUUCAAGAAAGAAAUAUGAAAAGGUAUGAUUUAUUGUAACAGCAGGAAAUGCUUUAAAUUGCAGGAAACAAAAUUGUUUGCGGUAUGCUUUUAGUAAACAAUUAUACAGCCCGUUAUGCAGGUUUAAGGUCAUAUCAAGAUCACACUGUGAGAUGAACAGAGGGAUAGAUCGAAGAGAAACUAGGUCACGCAACAAACGUUUAUUAACAAGACUCUUCAGCGGAAAAUCUGGAAAAUGAACGAUUUACCUAAAAGGCGAGAAGCUUUUAUCCUUCUUCUUGAAAAAUAAAACUUGCAUCGGUCAAAACAAUGACGCAAUUAUCUGUUUUCAUAACUGGGAAGAAUGAGCUGAACAUCAGUAAUGGAACAUAUACAUAUGUAUAGUAUAGUAUAAUAGAGUGUUUCAACCAUCAAACGAUACGAUACCUUCGUAAACAAAUGAUAAAAUGACAUGAACAGGUCCGUGAAAUCAGAAACAUCUGUUAACAUGUUCGCUGUGAAUUGAAGCCAUGGACAUUUGCUGGGCGAAUAAAAUGAUAUUAAUAAUAUAAAUUAAUUAAGUGUGGCUCGCUUUGUAGGAAUAUUGCCAAGAUAUGCACGAUAUGCAGCCGACACGGAUCUGCGACGUCCGCAGCAAACGUGCUAAUCUCUUGUUUUUAACUAUUCUCGUCUUUUAUUGACUAUGCAUAAAAAAGGAUCAUGUAGACGUCCGAAGUAUAAUUUGAAACAAUGGAUGCGAAGCUUUGUUGCGAUUUCAAUUAACGGUACUCAAGGAUGAACUGCUGAAAGUAAAAAUAACGUUAAUCUAAGGACCAUUCAUCCCAAAAUACGUUGAUUUAUCUCGUUAUCCAGUAAAAUUCUUUUGCCUUGAUUAUGCCUCGAUGUUUAAUACACCUUGCUUUUCUGACUGCCCUUAUAUACCAACGUGAGUUAUCACAAGGUGCUGAAAUACUCGACUGAUGGUUCCUGUUCAUCAGACGCGGAAAACUACCUAUUCGGUUGCGGCCAAUCACAAUCCACUCAUAAUUGUGUCACCCCUUAUCUGAUACAGUGUACGUACAUACAUAUUUCCAAGUCUAACGAAUAGGAUCUGAAAUUACAGCCAGGUAUAGCGUCGUAUUUAUACUAACGAGAGGAACUACCCAAAUAUUACGCUCACUUAUUAAUGAAACUCUGCCACCUUGUAGAGCUCGUCAAGCUGAAUACGCCUAUACCCCAUUUUGGAAGUUAGUUACUCCUUACAUUCUGAAGUAUAACAAACUCGCACAUAAAAACGGUUAUAGAGGUCUACGGUUUAAAUCCUUGGUUUCUAACGUAUUUUUUUUUUUCUUAGUGACAGUUUCUUUCUUUAUGAAUACCAGUUAUUUAUUAAUUUAUUGAUAAAACAAGGGAUACGGAGAUCCAGUGAUUUAGUGGUAGUCCCCGCGAGGCUCAUAAAAAGAAUGAAGAAAUAAGUAUUUGCCAAGGGAGUCCUUGGUCCAUAAAGAGGAGUAGGAUAAUAAAUAAUUAUGAGGGCGUGGGUUGUGGCCCAUAAAGAAGGAUAAAAUAAUUAAUAACUGAAAGGGGUGACCUUGGUCUGUAAAGAGGGAUAAAAUUAUAUAAAUAACUGGAAAAAGUGAAAUAAAAGGGGUCCUCGGCCGAGGCCCAGAAUAGGGAUACAAUCAUAAAUAUUAUUCCCCUUCGAUGAGCUUAUUUAAUAAAUAAAGUAAAUUAAAUAAACUCCGGAAAGAAAUUAGAGGAUGAAUAUUAUAAUGGUUGUGCCCUCUACGUACGGGCCUGAUUUCAUCAUGGGGUAUCACGGACCCCGAAGCACUGGUGGUGCUCUAUGCAUACCGACCUGACAUCAUCAUGGGGUAUCAGGGACCCCGAAGCAUCAGUGACACUGUAUACCGACAUUAUGAUAUCGGGGUGUCAGGAACCCCGAAGCUAAAAUGUGUGACCCAUAGACUUUCUUUAAACUAUUACAUCGGAUGCGGGAUGAGUCACUAUAUAAUAUAGGAAAGUUUCACCCAUUAAAUUAGUGUUCUUUAUAUAUUAAUUAAUAAAACUGUGGCUAUUUCGGAAAAAUUGAGCGGAUUGUAUCAGCAAUUGUUGACGCCGAUAAAGUACGCGACAAUUAUACCGACGAUGGGCAAUACCGACGAUGGAGAAUGCCGACAGUAGGUAAUAUCGACGAUGGGUAAUACCGACAGCAGGUAAUACUAACGUAUCUCUUUUUACGAAAUUUUUUUAUGGAUUAUAUCUUUUUUUAAAUAAUACUUAUUAACGUCCAAAUGAUGGUUAAUGCUAUGACCGAUCGGCUACCUUUGAGAUCAACUUUCAUCAGAGAAGUUCAGUACGCUUUCACAUCAAGUAGGUUCACGAUAACGGUACAUCAGAAGUGAAAUUAGAAAGUUGCAUAAAGUACAAACAUCUUAACUGCAAUAGCCUAUUUCAAAGAAAUAUUUACAUAUGUGACAUAUAGAAGUGUGACAAGUCGUGCGACAUUCAGCAGUGAUUUUUGAUCCUGUAACCCCACUUCAGUCAAUAUUCAGUCA